rnacentral:rRNA from 1 species
UACGGAGGGGGCUAGCGUUGUUCGGAAUUACUGGGCGUAAAGCGCAUGUAGGCGGCUUUGUAAGUUAGAGGUGAAAGCCCGGGGCUCAACUCCGGAAUUGCCUUUAAGACUGCAUCGCUAGAAUUGUGGAGAGGUAAGUGGAAUUCCGAGUGUAGAGGUGAAAUUCGUAGAUAUUCGGAAGAACACCAGUGGCGAAGGCGACUUACUGGACACAUAUUGACGCUGAGGUGCGAAAGCGUGGGGAGCAAACAGG